UUAUUAAAUGGACAGUAACUCACACACCUGCCACUAAAGAGAAAAGAUAACUUAGAAAAACCCAGUCAGAAAACACUGUACUUAGGAAAGAAGGUGUGCAGAAGUCAGUGUUGGCUGCACUUCUGCUGUAGCCAGGCACAGCUCUCACGUCACUAAAGCUCUUUGAGCCUUUAAUCCCUCAGCCCCUCACUGAUGGUCAUAUUAAGCUAAGAUAACUUAUCUGUUGGGACUUUUUCUAUGCCUAUUUUUUUCAGCAUUAUGGUCCAGAAAUUAAAUGGGUCGAUGGAGGAAAACCACUGUUGAAAGUUUCAACUCAUUUAGUUUCUACAGUGUAUACACAGGUGCGUGCUACUCUGUAAAAAUUAGCAGUGAUUGCUCUGUGACUCAUGUUGUAUUUUUUUGUUAAACAGAAUCCUGUUAUGUCAUAUGGAUAUUUUUACCCUACAGAUCUUUAUUUGAGGAAAGUACAUAAAACGUGCUCAUUUGUAGUAAUAUAAAUGACUAGUAGAAGUAAUAUUUUUCAGCAGUUCUUUGUUGGAGGAUCGCUGUUAUUUUAAUGUGACCAAUUUCCUAGUAUUAAAAGAAAAUUAUGCAUGCUUGAUAAUAUGCAUACUAAUAGACUUUUCUUCUCCCUCCCCCAGGAUCAGCAUUUACAUAAUUUUUUCCAGUACUGUCAGAAAACUGAAUCUGGAGCUCAGGCUGUAGGGAAUGAACUUGUAAAAUACCUUAAGAGUCUGCAUGCAAUGGAAGGCCAUGUGAUGAUCGCCUUCCUGCCCACCAUCCUAAACCAGCUAUUCCGAGUCCUCACCAGAGCCACCCAGGAGGAAGUCGCAGUUAAUGUGACUAGGGUCAUUAUUCACGUGGUUGCCCAGUGCCAUGAGGAAGGAUUGGAGAGCCACUUGAGGUCAUAUGUUAAGUAUGCUUAUAAGGCUGAGCCAUAUAUUGCUUCUGAAUAUAAGACAGUGCAUGAAGAGCUGACUAAAUCCAUGACCACCAUUCUCAAGCCUUCUGCCGAUUUCCUCACGAGCAACAAACUCCUAAAGUAUUCUUGGUUUUUCUUUGAUGUGCUGAUAAAAUCCAUGGCUCGGCAUUUGAUAGAAAACUCCAAAGUUAAGGUAUGUUACUCCAUGUGGAGGCUUGUGUCUCCUUCAUUGUGUGUGCAGCUAACAUUUCUGACUGUUUUAUAUGUGCCAGUUCUGGGACUAUCCUGAUUGCUUUACAAGUAAUAAAAUAUUAUAGCUUUAUGACUCUCCUGUGAGGGAGAUACUUUUC
rnacentral:lncRNA from 1 species